AUUGAACGCUGGCGGCAGGCCUAACACAUGCAAGUCGAGCGGAUGAAGGGAGCUUGCUCCUGGAUUCAGCGGCGGACGGGUGGGUAAUGCCUAGGAAUCUGCCUGGUAGUGGGGGAUAACGUCCGGAAACGGGCGCUAAUACCGCAUACGUCCUGAGGGAGAAAGUGGGGGAUCUUCGGACCUCACGCUAUCAGAUGAGCCUAGGUCGGAUUAGCUAGUUGGUGGGGUAAAGGCCUACCAAGGCGACGAUCCGUAACUGGUCUGAGAGGAUGAUCAGUCACACUGGAACUGAGACACGGUCCAGACUCCUACGGGAGGCAGCAGUGGGGAAUAUUGGACAAUGGGCGAAAGCCUGAUCCAGCCAUGCCGCGUGUGUGAAGAAGGUCUUCGGAUUGUAAAGCACUGUAAGUUGGGAGGAAGGGCAGUAAGUUAAUACCUGGCUGUUUUGACGGUACCAACAGAAUAAGCACCGGCUAACUUCGUG
rnacentral:rRNA from 1 species